UUUGAAAACAAGCGAGCAGAAAGUUGUUGUCAAACAUCAAAUUCUGAAUCUGCUCUAUUAUUUGUUUAACAUUUAAAAAAGGGAUGUUUUCCAACGGAGAAAAUCAGCAGAGGAACAGCUGCGCACUAUUUGAUGCCACGACGCCCGCAAAGACAGCGACGAUAAUCGAUACCAGUCGAUCGAUCGAUCCGGAGGACAAGUAAGGCCGAUGUGUUCCAUGUGGAUCAACGCAUUUUGGCAACAGCUUCCACAGAAAAAAUAGACCUGGUGCAUAUCUCGAGAGGAGCAGCGUGGAGUGGCACUUCUGGCACACGCCAGAGAUGGGCCGGAUCACAUGCAAUGGAAUUACAAAGAUGGGCUAGAGAGGGGGUGAUUUGCUCCAGAGUGCAUUAUAUGUGCAGAUCACUGUACAGAGUAUGUGGAAUUUGAGGGUGACUUAAUUCUGAAAAGUCCCUGCUUAGAACCCCUAGAAUUUUUCCCUCCCUCACUCGUCCAUUCACUGACAGGAAAACAGCAGGAAAACGUCCUGCUGUUUUCUGCUUUUCCUGUGAGGGUAAAGUGUGAAGAAGCAGGCCAGGAAGUUUCAGGGUAGUUUUCAGGUUUUCAGUGUAAAAAGGGCAGGUGUUUGCAUUAACACAUGCAGCAUGACCCUGGGGCUGAUACUGAAUCAACCUUUCCAUGUCUGUCAGUUACUGUAAGUAUAACAUGGUGGCCUCCACAGCCUUUCUGUUGCAAUUAAUGUUAAAUGUAGUUAAACAUAAUGUAAGUUGUUGUUUUAAACCCUUGUAUGAGGACAUUUUAAGUUUGACAUAGUUUUGUCCCAGGUUACCCCAGAAGCCCCCAAGCACCUCAUCUCAUCCAGAGACCUAAGUGAAAGUUUUCCCUCUGUAGAGUCAGUGGAUUUUGUGGACUCAAACUCCUUAGAGAAGACUGAAUUAAGCUGCACAGUAACAUCUAAAUCACAAGAGGACACAGCAGAAGUCUGGAAGUUUUGUGAGUGACAGCUGCCUGAUGGAGCUCUUCAAGAAGUGUCAAUCUUGUUGACAGCCCUCUUCCAGAACGAAGGCAGCUCUUCACACUUUGAAAAAUGGUCCGGACAUCUGCACCUGUAUUUCAUGGGACAUAAAACCAUCAAAGGUUUUUGAAAUACAGAACGCAUACCUCAACCCAGAAGAGAAACAGAUGCAAAGGAUGGAGUGGGGAGGUUCGCCAGCAGCUACCUGAAAGCACUCCUCUUCACAGUUCAGGUGAUGGUCAGUGUGAUUCAUUUGGUUUCAGGGUUAAGAACUAAAAGGUGUUGGACUCUUAGUUGUGUCUUUUUUUUCCAGGAAAAAGAUUGACAAAACAUCAGUAACUCUGUGUACACACUUUAACAGAAAUAUGCAUGUACCCAGUGAUUAAAAAAUUCCUCAAAGUUAAGAUGAGUUUGAGAGAGAAUACACAAAAAUGACUUGUACAAAUGUCAAGACAAAAAUGACAACAGGGUAUGUAGUUCAAAGUUAGAAAAGAAAUGUUUAUUUAAGAAUCAGUGGUACCAUGCAAACAGACAAUAAUUUAUAUAAGCAGCACAUACAGCAGGACAAAAACUUUAGCAUUUAUCAUAACACAUUUGCAUGUGUAAAUCAUCCACUCUUUUGAAUCAGGAGGCUUUGUUAAAAUAUUAAUCUAAACUUGUCUGCACAUAUUGUUUCAUUCUGGCAUUUCAAACUGCUUUUAUUUUGAAACUUUACAACAGAUACGGAGCAUACUUUACUGCAAAUAAACCAUGAUGUUUAAACCUUGCUAUAUACCAAACCAAAAUUAUUGUGUAUUACACCUCUAGUUUAUCUUAUGUGCAGGGUUGAUUGUAAGACUGCAUUCAUGUUUUUUCAUUAACAGUCAAGAUGGCUGCCACUGAGGCAGGAAGUAUUUUCUUUAUAAAAUG